GCGUAAAGAGCUCGUAGGUGGUUUGUCGCGUUGUUCGUGAAAUCUCACGGCUUAACUGUGAGCGUGCGGGCGAUACGGGCAGACUUGAGUACUGCAGGGGAGACUGGAAUUCCUGGUGUAGCGGUGGAAUGCGCAGAUAUCAGGAGGAACACCGGUGGCGAAGGCGGGUCUCUGGGCAGUAACUGACGCUGAGGAGCGAAAGCGUGGGGAGCGAACAGGAUUAGAUACCCUGGUAGUCCACGCCGUAAACGGUGGGUACUAGGUGUGGGUUUCCUUCCUUGGGAUCCGUGCCGUAGCUAACGCAUUAAGUACCCCGCCUGGGGAGUACGGCCGCAAGGCUAAAACUCGGAGAAAUUGACGGGGGCCCGCACAAGCGGCGGAGCAUGUGGAUUAAUUCGAUGCAACGCGAAGAACCUUACCUGGGUUUGACAUGCACAGGACGCCGGCAGAGAUGUCGGUUCCCUUGUGGCCUGUGUGCAGGUGGUGCAUGGCUGUCGUCAGCUCGUGUCGUGAGAUGUUGGGUUAAGUCCCGCAACGAGCGCAACCCUUGUCUCAUGUUGCCAGCGGGUAAUGCCGGGGACUCGUGAGAGACUGCCGGGGUCAACUCGGAGGAAGGUGGGGAUGACGUCAAGUCAUCAUGCCCCUUAUGUCCAGGGCUUCACACAUGCUACAAUGGCCGGUACAAAGGGCUGCGAUGCCGCGAGGUUAAGCGAAUCCUUUUAAAGCCGGUCUCAGUUCGGAUCGGGGUCUGCAACUCGACCCCGUGAAGUCGGAGUCGCUAGUAAUCGCAGAU
rnacentral:rRNA from 1 species